rnacentral:rRNA from 1 species
GUGGAUUAGAUACCCUAGUAGUCCAUGCCGUAAACGAUGUCUACUAGCCGUUGGGGUCUUUGAGACUUUAGUGGCGCAGCUAACGCGAUAAGUAGACCGCCUGGGGAGUACGGUCGCAAGACUAAAACUCAAAUGAAUUGACGGGGGCCCGCACAAGCGGUGGAGCAUGUGGUUUAAUUCGAUGCAACGCGAAGAACCUUACCUGGUCUUGACAUAGUAAGAACUUUCCAGAGAUGGAUUGGUGCCUUCGGGAACUUACAUACAGGUGCUGCAUGGCCGUCGUCAACU